UGGAUAAAGAGAUUUUAGGGGUCAGGAUGUUGUGUGAUUUUUGUGCACCUGGGUGUGUGAUUUAAAUGAGAAAUCUCUCAAAUCCCUGGCCUUUCUAUAUUGAAAUAGAUUAUUAACAUUUAAAUCAUCCUUUAAGAUAGCUACUCAUUGAUUGGCUUCUGUAUUGUAGGUGCUGUAUUGUGCGGUUGCAAGGGGACAGCCCACUCCUCCCUGUGGAUACAUCUGAAAGUGAAGAAAGGCAAUGAAACAGAACUUCCAGAGAACACCCUUGUGAUUCUGCACCCCUUCUCCAAAUCCAACCCAUUGAAGGCAAGACAGCUGUGCCACGGGAAGCCUUCGGCUGGAGACUUGGCCUUGGCUGGAGAGGGCUGGCUGUUGAGCUCGUUUAGCGGAGUGUGCAGCAUUCACAGUGCCUGUCUCUCAGGGAAGGAAAAGGCACGUUGAUCAGAAAAGCAGGACAGCUACAUUCCCACCUUAGAGCGGUGGAGGGAAAGGAAUUUAAUGACAUCACAGGUAACUCCUUCCCUAAUCAUCUUAGUGAAUUGAU